UAGGGAAUCUUCCACAAUGGACGCAAGUCUGAUGGAGCAGCGCCGCGUGAGUGAAGAAGGCUUUCGGGUCGUAAAACUCUGUUAUUGAAGAAGAACGUGUGUGACAGUAACUGGUCAUGCAGUGACGGUAUUCAAUCAGAAAGUCACGGCUAACUACGUGCCAGCAGCCGCGGUAAUACGUAGGUGGCAAGCGUUGUCCGGAUUUAUUGGGCGUAAAGCGAGUGCAGGCGGUCUUUUAAGUCUGAUGUGAAAGCCUUCGGCUUAACCGAAGAAGGGCAUCGGAAACUGGGAGACUUGAGUGCAGAAGAGGAGAGUGGAACUCCAUGUGUAGCGGUGAAAUGCGUAGAUAUAUGGAAGAACACCAGUGGCGAAGGCGGCUCUCUGGUCUGUAACUGACGCUGAGGCUCGAAAGCGUGGGUAGCAAACAGGAUUAGAUACCCUGGUAGUCCACGCGUAAACGAUGAAUACUAAGUGUUGGAGGGUUUCCGCCCUUCAGUGCUGCAGCUAACGCAUUAAGUAUUCCGCCUGGGGAGUACGACCGCAAGGUUGAAAC
rnacentral:rRNA from 1 species